rnacentral:lncRNA from 1 species
GUCUGGGGAGAUAUCAUCUGCAAUCGAAGGUCGGAGGAGUCCUGCGAGGGUCAAUCCUGUUAAGAACUUCGACUGAGGGUAUUUUAUACCUAACAGUGUGAUUCCUCCUUUCCAUAAUACCAUUUAAUUAUGAAGUGUAGGGAGGAGUCCAUUAAGAAAGAAUUCUAUUUUCUUUUAAAUGAUCAAGAAACUCACUAAUUAAGUAUUUGCCUUCCCAAUU